rnacentral:rRNA from 1 species
UACGAAGGGUGCGAGCGUUGUUCGGAAUUACUGGGCGUAAAGGGUUUGUAGGCUGAAAGACAAGUCAAAUGUGAAAUCCCCGAGCUAAACUUGGGACGUGCAUUUGAAACUGUGUUUCUUGAGUAUCGUAGAGGGUGGUGGAAUUGCAGGUGUAGGAGUGACAUCCGUAGAGAUCUGCAGGAACAUCAGAGGCGAAGGCGACCACCUGGCCGAUGACUGACGCUGAGGAACGAAAGCGUGGGGAGCAAACAGG